rnacentral:rRNA from 1 species
UACGGGGGGGGCGAGCGUUGUUCGGAAUUACUGGGCGUAAAGGGCGCGUAGGCGGCCUGGGAAGUUCUGGGUGAAAGCCCCCGGCUCAACCGGGGAAGUGCCUGGAAAACCACUGGGCUGGAGUGCUGGAGAGGAGAGCGGAAUUCCCGGUGUAGCGGUGAAAUGCGUAGAGAUCGGGAGGAACAUCGGAGGCGAAGGCGGCUUUCUGGACAGACACUGACGCUGAGGCGCGAAAGCCAGGGGAGCAAAC